AUGGAGAGAUACUUCGUCGCCUCCCCCUUCCAGACCCCCGUCGUCACUCGCGCCAGCGCCUGCUACGCCCCCUGGGUUCUCCUCGACACGAAGGCCUACUUCGCCGUCCGUGAGAACGCCACGACCGCCGAAGCUGUGACCAGCACCGGGAAGGCAUUCAAGGUCACCUUCUGCCUGGCCUACCCGCCGGCCAUCUCCCACUUCUGCGUCCAUGGCCCCGAGUUCCAGCGCGACGACUUAACGCCCGAGCCCCUGGUCGUCUUCUCUUCCAAGUACUUGGUGCUCCUCCGCUUUAUUUCCGGGAGAACCCGUUCGGGAUCUCGGCUCGAGGAGUACUUCGUCUACAAGGCCGACCACGGCAAGCCGUCGCUCACACUGAUCCCGCGUACUCCUCCGGGCACCACAAACUCGUUAAGCUUGUGCGUCCUGCCAUUCGACGACAAUGAUGGGGGAUUUGUCGUCGCAGAUCUCUGCAAGACACUAGUGUCCCCGUCAGACUACAAGCUCCACGUCUUCUCUUCCAGAACAGGCAAGUGGGCCACUACGCCUUUGCGGUUGCAAACAUAUGCCGGGGUGAGGAAAGAGGACCUGCCGGGCCAUUUUUUCAACAAGGUGGUCGCGCUCGGAGGAGGUGCCGUCGGCUGGACCGACCUCUGGCGUGGCAUUCUCACCUGCAAUGCGUUUGACAAGAACCCCGUUCUUAGUUUCAUCCCGAUACCCAUGCUUGCAUACUGUGACGAGCAACGGAUAAGUGGCCCGUGGCUCAUCCGGGAUGUCACCUGCUCCAAUGGUUACAUCAAGUUUGUCGAGCUGGAACUUAUUACUCAAAAGAGCAGCGAGACAAGAGAGGAUAAUCUUGACAGUGUUGAUAUCAUCCACGAUUCUGAGCUGUUCUUCCACAAUGAGAAUGCCCGCACCAACAAAAAAAAAGUGCCUAAUUGA
rnacentral:rRNA from 1 species